GGAGUUUGUCGGCAGCAACAGGCACGCAUGGGGCCUGCUGGGACUCGUCUCCUGCUAUGCUUCAGCUCCUGCCCAAUCACUUACCUGUGCCAGGAGAAGCCUCUGGACAUGCCUGGGCAGCCUCUGGACAUGCACUGCUCCCAUUCCUCGCUGAGAGGGCAUCUCCCCGAGUGCCUCUCCAUCCCAGUAGACUCUCCAGAUGUGCCCAGUCCUCAACUGGUGUGGCCUCACCAGAGAGACUCAGACCAAACAGGCCUCCACAGCCUCUCUCUAGACACUUUCUGGGAAACCACAGUGGAAUACAAAAGGGCACCAACUGUUCUGAUCUCUUGAAGAGCUCCUCAGGCAACCUUCUGUUUCUAGCAAGAUGAUACACCCAAGCCUUGAUGACAAGGCUUGGCUCUCAACCUCCUUGCUCCCCACCUCCUGUGAAAUACACAAAGAAAUUCAGUGAUCAUCGGGGAUGCUCUGGUCCAAACACUACCUGCCAGCCAGACGCAGGAGAUGGAUGGCUCAGCAGUAAUCGUGCUGCUUGAGCUUGGUGUCUAAUGGGGACAGUAGUGACAGGAAGUUCACAGGGACUGGAAGACAUGAGUUCUCUGAGGGAAAGGAAGGUGAAGCCUGGUGCUUAGGACCCUCAGGAGACCAUAGGAUGUGAGAAGGCUCAAGACACCCAGAGGUGGGGUCAGAAACAGGGCAAAGGAGACCAAGCAUGGGAGAGCUGCAGUGGACGUGUACAGACAGGAGAAGCAGGCCCUAAAGAAUCCCUGAGGCGGCAGAGAGGCUGGGCUGUGGAACUUUUUAAUUACUUUGCAUUAGGGGACUGUAGAGACCCAGAAGCCCACCCUUCCCCUCCCCUCAUCAGCUUAGCCCCAACAUAUGGUGGCUACCAAAGUAGUUAAAUCGGCUCUUGGUAGAAAAGGAAAGAGAUUCCUCCCAGGCUCUUCCCAGGGUCCACGGCCACACUCCAGGAGGGCUCAACUCCAGGGCAAGGCAGCUGGGACAGCAGGCAGCUGAAGGAGGACUAUUACUGCACCUUAGGGAAGAGUGCAGUGGCGAGUGGGGAGGACUCUGCUGGGACCCGGGGGUCAUGUGCAUUCCCAUUUAGUUGAGCUCUGCUUAAUCCGGGCCUAGGCUCACAGUAAUGGGGAACGAGGAGAGGCUCCCAUCAGAGACCAAGAAGAUGACAGACUCUCUGUAAAGGCUGUCAGAGGGGUCUGCAUGACCAACCACACCUGCUCCUGUUCCUUUGGGGCUCUUGUGACCUCCCUGUCUUCUUGUGAGAUCUUAUGUUCCUCCAACCCUGAGAGCUACAAACCAAUCUCCGGAAUAAAAAAAUCUGUCCCUCGUGCUGUCA
rnacentral:lncRNA from 1 species